rnacentral:rRNA from 1 species
GAUGAACGCUGGCGGCGUGCCUAAUACAUGCAAGUCGAGCGAACAGACGAGGAGCUUGCUCCUCUGACGUUAGCGGCGGACGGGUGAGUAACACGUGGAUAACCUACCUAUAAGACUGGGAUAACUUCGGGAAACCGGAGCUAAUACCGGAUAAUAUAUUGAACCGCAUGGUUCAAUAGUGAAAGACGGUUUUGCUGUCACUUAUAGAUGGAUCCGCGCCGCAUUAGCUAGUUGGUAAGGUAACGGCUUACCAAGGCUACGAUGCGUAGCCGACCUGAGAGGGUGAUCGGCCACACUGGAACUGAGACACGGUCCAGACUCCUACGGGAGGCAGCAGUAGGGAAUCUUCCGCAAUGGGCGAAAGCCUGACGGAGCAACGCCGCGUGAGUGAUGAAGGUCUUCGGAUCGUAAAACUCUGUUAUUAGGGAAGAACAAAUGUGUAAGUAACUAUGCACGUCUGGACGGUACCUAAUCAGAAAGCCACGGCUAACUACGU